CCCUACGGGGUGCAGCAGGCGAGAAAACUUUGCAAUGUGCGAAAGCACGACAAGGUUAAUCCGAGUGGUUUCUGCUAAAGGAACCUUUUGCCAGUCCUAGAAACACUGGUGAAUAAGGGGUGGGCAAGUUCUGGUGUCAGCCGCCGCGGUAAAACCAGCACCUCAAGUGGUCAGGAUGAUUAUUGGGCCUAAAGCAUCCGUAGCCUGCUUUGUUAGUUUUCGGUUAAAUCCAUUUGCUCAACGAAUGGGCUGCCGGGAAUACUGCAAAGCUAGGGAGUGGGAGAGGUAGACGGUACUCGGUAGGAAGGGGUAAAAUCCUUUGAUCUAUUGAUGACCACCUGUGGCGAAGGCGGUCUACCAGAACACGUCCGACGGUGAGGGAUGAAAGCUGGGGGAGCAAACCGGAUUAGAUACCCGGGUAGUCCCAGCUGUAAACUAUGCAAACUCAGUGAUGCAUUGGCUUGAUGCCAAUGCAGUGCUGCAGGGAAGCCGUUAAGUUUGCCGCCUGGGAAGUACGUACGCAAGUAUGAAACUUAAAGGAAUUGGCGGGGGAGCACCACAAGGGGUGAAGCCUGCGGUUCAAUUGGAGUCAACGCCAGAAAUCUUACCCGGAGAGACAGCAGAAUGAAGGUCAAGCUGAAGACUUUACCAGACAAGCUGAGAGGUGGUGCAUGGCC
rnacentral:rRNA from 1 species